rnacentral:rRNA from 1 species
AUUGAACGCUGGCGGCAGGCCUAACACAUGCAAGUCGAGCGGAUGAAGGGAGCUUGCUCCUGGAUUCAGCGGCGGACGGGUGAGUAAUGCCUAGGAAUCUGCCUGGUAGUGGGGGAUAACGUCCGGAAACGGGCGCUAAUACCGCAUACGUCCUGAGGGAGAAAGUGGGGGAGCUUCGGACCUCUCGCUCUCAGAUGAGCCUAGGUCGUAUUAGCUAGUUGGUGGGGUAAAGGCCUACCAAGGCGACGAUCCGUAACUGGUCUGAGAGGAUGAUCAGUCACACUAGAACUGAGACACGGUCCAGACGCCUACGGGAGGCCGCAGUGGGGAAUAUUGGACAAUGGGCGAAAGCCUGAUCCAGCCAUGCCGCGUGUGUGAAGAAGGUCUUCGGAUUGUAAAGCACUUUAAGUUGGGAGGAAGGGCAGUAAGUUAAUACCUUGCUGUUUUGACGUUACCAACAGAAUAAGCACCGGCUAACUUCGUG